rnacentral:rRNA from 1 species
CCUACGGGAGGCAGCAGUGGGGAAUAUUGGGCAAUGGGCGCAAGCCUGAUGCAGCGACGCCGCGUGAGUGAAGAAGUAUUUCGGUAUGUAAAGCUCUAUCAGCAGGGAAGAAAAAAGACGGUACCUGACUAAGAAGCCCCGGCUAACUACGUGCCAGCAGCCGCGGUAAUACGGAGGGGGCAAGCGUUAUCCGGAUUUACUGGGUGUAAAGGGAGCGUAGACGGCGCGGCAAGUCUGAAGUGAAAGGAAGGGGCUUAACCCCUGAACUGCUUUUGAAACUGCCAUGCUUGAGUGCGGGAGAGGUAAGUGGAAUUCCUAGUGUAGCGGUGAAAUGCGUAGAUAUUAGGAGGAACACCAGUGGCGAAGGCGGCUUACUGGACAGUAACUGACGUUGAGGCUCGAAAGCGUGGGGAGCAAACAGGAUUAGAUACCCGGGUAGUC